UCUUGUAUUCCUUGAGCUGUGAUAUAAGCCUUUAAACCUAAUGUAAUGUCACAGUGACGAUUUCAACAGACUUUAAAGUUUAUUUUUGUCAGACAUACUGUAGAUUAAGAGUGAAACCUUUAAGAUUUAAAAUUGACUGAAGUGAUGGUUUACAUUCAAGCUUCAUGGAGCUGCAUACGGUAAAGGCAUCUAUCUGAGUCCUAUCUCAAGCAUAUCAUUUGGAUAUUUUGAGAUGGGCAAAGGGCGACACCAAAUGUCCACCAAAGAAGAACUCAUAAAGAAAUACAUCCAAAUAAACAAAAACAAACAGGAACAGCUGGGGCAAGCCGGGAUUGUGCAAAACAGGAAUCUAAACUGCAUUGCUCUC